rnacentral:rRNA from 1 species
CACUCCUACGGGAGGCAGCAGUGGGGAAUUUUCCGCAAUGGGCGAAAGCCUGACGGAGCAAUACCGCGUGGGGGAGGAAGGCUCUUGGGUUGUAAACUCCUUUUCUCAGGGAAGAAAAAAAUGACGGUACCUGAGGAAUAAGCAUCGGCUAACUCCGUGCCAGCAGCCGCGGUAAUACGGAGGAUGCAAGCGUUAUCCGGAAUCAUUGGGCGUAAAGCGUCCGCAGGUGGCAUUUCAAGUCUGCUGUCAAAGGUCGGGGCUUAACUCCGAACAGGCAGUGGAAACUGAGAAGCUAGAGUGCGGUAGGGGCAGAGGGAAUUCCUGGUGUAGCGGUGAAAUGCGUAGAGAUCAGGAAGAACACCGGUGGCGAAAGCGCUCUGCUAGGCCGCAACUGACACUCAGGGACGAAAGCUAGGGGAGCGAAUGGGAUUAGAUACCCCAGUAGUCCC